rnacentral:rRNA from 1 species
UACGUAGGGUGCAAGCGUUGUCCGGAAUUAUUGGGCGUAAAGAGCUCGUAGGCGGUCUGUCGCGUCGGCUGUGAAAACCCGGGGCUCAACCCCGGGCCUGCAGCCGAUACGGGCAGACUAGAGUUCGGCAGGGGAGACUGGAAUUCCUGGUGUAGCGGUGAAAUGCGCAGAUAUCAGGAGGAACACCGGUGGCGAAGGCGGGUCUCUGGGCCGAUACUGACGCUGAGGAGCGAAAGCGUGGGGAGCAAACAGG